rnacentral:tRNA from 1 species
GGCCCCGUAGCUCAGUUGGAUAGAGCACCGGUCUUCGGAAUCGGGUGUCGGGAGUUCGAAUCUCUCCGGGGCCG